AAUCUCCGUACUUUGGCCAUGUGAGCCAAAAUUUUCGAUGGCGUUUUCGAAUUUAACUGUCAAUCAACUCUUUCAUACUCAAUUUGUUUCGCGUGUGUUGUUCCUGAAUCGUCACUUUUCCAAAGAACUAGAUUGCGGAGGUUGAGCAGAGGUUUCAUCUCCAUACCAUUAUCCAGCUUAAGUUUGUGGAACCUUCGCACACAUAGUAGGUUUCGUAAUC